rnacentral:siRNA from 1 species
AUGUAAAGGUACCAUAGCGACUU